rnacentral:lncRNA from 1 species
CCGGGGCUCCGGUACUAUAGUCUCAUUUUUGAUCUUAGAGUGUUCAAAUCAACGAUCCACACUAUUAAAACUAAUCUAGGGUACCUAAAGUUCUUAGAAAUAAAAUUUUAUAUUUUUUCGAUAUAGUUUACUUUAUGAUCAAAUUAUUUCAAAAUUGUCAUUUUUCAAUGACUACUAUGGCGAGCUUGGAGUUUAACGGUGUAGAAGAAUCUAAAUUUCUUCAAAUUUUGAUAGAAAAUACUUUAAACUAUCUAGAUUAAGGUUAACAUUCUUGAUCUUGAAUUUAAAAGUUCUAUGCUCAAAUUUUAAAAAAUAUUCUAUUUUCAUCGUCUAUUUUGACAUAAUUUAUUUACUAAGUAAAUGAUGUCGAAAAAAACUAAAAUUUUAUUCCUAAGAACUUUAUAUAUCCUAAAUCAUAUUUAACAGUGUGGAUCGUUAAUUUGAACACCCUAAGAUCGAAAAUAAGACUAUAAUACCGGAGCUCCGGUACUAUAAACAGUAUAGUAUCCUAAUUCUAUAUGUAUAUAUGGAGUCUGGCUACUAUACACUUAUGAGUACGAUCGUCCUCGUACUCAUAAGUUGUUUUCGAUAAUAGAGUUUUCGAAUCGACGAUCCAUACCGUCAAACAUUAUCUAGAGCAUUUAAAAUUUCUAGAAAUCAAAUUUCAUAAUUUUUCGAUAUCAUUUACCUUACGAUCAAAAGAUCACAAAAUUGACAAAUUUUAACAGCCGGUAUGGGAUACUUGCUAGUUUAACGGUGUAAAAGAAUCGGAAUCAAAAAAUUAUAUUCACUACCUAGAUAAAGAUCAAUUACUCCGAUCUUAAAUUGAAGGAUUCGAUCAUCCAUUUUUAGGACGUCGUUCGAUUUCGACCGUUCAUUUUAUACCCGCUUGAUGGACUUUAUUAUGACUUCGAAAAGUUACGAAAUUUGUUUUUUAGAAGUUUCGAAUACUCUAGAUCAUAUUUAACGGAAUGGAUCGUCGAUUCGGAAGUCCCAUCAUUGAAAACAUCUUAUAAGUACGAAGGGCCCCAUAUCGACGAUUCGAAAGUCGCAACAUGGAAAACGACCUGGAAGCACGGAAGGCUCCGUGCUUCCAGAAGCAUAGUAG